rnacentral:rRNA from 1 species
AACCAACAGGGAUUGCCUUAGUAACUGCGAGUGAAGCGGCAAGAGCUCAAAUUUGAAAUCUGGCAUCCGCCCGAAUUGUAAUUUGUAGAAGCAACUUUUGAACUAGUCCUUGCAUAUGUUCCUUGGAACAGGACAUCAUAGAGGGUGAGAAUCCCGUUCAUGGUGGGGAGUCUAGUUCUCUGUAAAGUGCUUUCGACGAGUCGAGUUGUUUGGGAAUGCAGCUCUAAGUGGGUGGUAAAUUCCAUCUAAAGCUAAAUAUUGGCGAGAGACCGAUAGCGAACAAGUACAGUGAUGGAAAGAUGAAAAGUACUCCGAAAGGAGAGUGAAAUAGGACGUGAAAUUGUUGAAAGGGAAGUGCAUUUGAUCAGACAUGGUGUUUUGUGCCCUCUGCUCCUUGUGGGUAGGGAAUCUCGCAUUUCACUGGGCCAGCAUCAGUUUUGGUGGCAGGAUAAAUCCAUAGGAAUGUAGCUUGCCUCGGUAAGUAUUAU